rnacentral:rRNA from 1 species
UACGUAGGGGGCAAGCGUUGUCCGGAUUCAUUGGGCGUAAAGAGCUCGUAGGCGGCUUGGCAAGUCGGGUGUGAAACCUCCAGGCUCAACCUGGAGACGCCACCCGAUACUGCCAUGGCUAGAGUCCGGUAGGGGACCACGGAAUUCCUGGUGUAGCGGUGAAAUGCGCAGAUAUCAGGAAGAACACCCGUGGCGAAGGCGGCUCUCUGGAACGCAACUGGACGCUGAGACGCGAAAGCGUGGGGAGCAAACAGG